UAUCAUGGACCGUUACGUUAGGUCGAUUAAACAUGAAACUUUAGGGGACUCUUUUAUAUUGGGUUACAAAACAAAUUUUUUGCAUAACCCUACAUUGCAAUAAGGGCGCUCUCAGGGGCUGUAGCGGUGUUUGUAGCUACAGUACGGGCUUAGCAACCCCGAGGUACCCGAGCUAGAGAGAGGCCCCAAUAGAUGAGAAGAUGAUUCUAAGAGAUACUGCAAACUGUAUUAAAACAAUGCAAGAGUAAUGUAAGACGAUGAUAAGAAGAAUGGAAAAGUAAGCAAUAGUGCAAUAACUUUGUAUAAUAAGUUACGCAUUUUAAAUAAAUGAAUGAUGAAUGAAUGCAAUAAGGGCCAAGGAAUAUAGCGAGCAACAGCAAUGCCAACGUACUAUGGCAUUGCGUUAAGAGCGACGAGAAGCAACGUAGCAUAAGACAACGACAAUGGAAUUGCUCAAGGCAGUACGGUAUCGGAAUAGCGGUGUCAAUGGACAUUGGCAACGCACACAUCCAACGACGAAGACGAUGUUUAAGCCAGCGGAAGGGGAACGAACAACCAGUGAUUCACACGUGAUUACACUAUGUAAACAUGCACAAUGUAUACUGGAUGUACGAUGGUAAUUGCAAUGGCAAUGACAACGUGAUAUGGAGAUGUUCCUUGGCAAUGGCAAUGUCAAUGGCAGCAGUAAACGUGGACUGUAGUUAAUGUGAUCACGAACGGGUGGUGUUACACAAAAGUAAACAAUGAAAAUGUUACAAAGCGACAAUCAGGUUGUAUGGAACAACUUGGGAGAAAUAUAGAAACCAAUGCUGAUAGUUUGAAAAUAGUUUGGAUGUAUUUGGUAUUAAAUAAUAUGAACACGUUUUAAUAAAAAUUUCAAAAAAUCACGAGGCUUGUAAUAUUUAUAGAAGUGGAAAAACAAGAAAAUAAUUCUUUCUGUUAGAUGAAAUAAAACCUAUCUAAAGUGAAAUUAAAGAAUGUCCUCAUUUUGCUAUCUGGAAAUGAUAAUCCUUGCCAGGAAAAGCAAAUAAAACCGGUGCAAGAUGAAGCUAAAGAAAGCCACCAGUAGUCUCGUUUUACUGUCUGAAGAUGAUAAUCCUUGUCAGAGUACUUUUUUAUCUAACGUUUUGCUACGUGUUGGCGAGUAAUGAAGAAAUAAUUCCUUUUUAGAAUAUAUAGUAAAUGUAUCCAAAGGGGAAUUAAAGAACUCCAUUGCUAUUCCCGUUUUACUGGAGUUGUUAAUCAUUGCCAGAGUACCCUUUUAUGUAACACUCUGCUACCGUUUUGGCAAUCACGGUGACACGUUAUGGCGCUUGCCGUAGGUCGUGGAACGCGUCGAUUCUAAGCUCGACUUCCGUAUUGGCUGUCGUUUAAACGACACCCGUUCUCGACAUUGUGGGACGGUUCGCUCAUUAUCCAUUGUAACCAUCUCAAUGUCACGGUUAAAUUCUACACUGACCGUGCGUCUGCAUAGCCAGUCAUAAUCAAUACUGUUGCCAGGAAGAAAAACAGCAGUCUCACCGUGAGGCGUGAGAGAUAUAAUCUGAAAUGCAUUUAUCACCCUUCUAAAUUACUUUACAAAGUAAUUAGUUCACUUGAAUCUGCUUAAUGGGCGUUCGACGAUAAAGAACGAGAAACGGAGCACCACGGAUGACGGACCACCUUACAUUUUUGGGCAUGCGUUUCCGUUUCACUUGUUCUUUUUUAAGGGGUCCGUUUUCGAUCGUUCUGCAAGAUAUUCGAGAAUUUUAUAUCGAUUUUAACAGGGUACGCACAGUUUUUAUAGCGAAAGUUAAUUAGGUUGAAAACGCCACGUCAUCCGCACAUAGGUGAAAAUAAAUCUUUAUAAAUGCGAUAAAUUUUGAAAAGGAUGUGAAAAUAAUUACUGCCACGAAUGUUAGAUUACGUAAUUUCUAAUUGCAUAGAAACAAAAUGUUAGCCUCGUAGGAGCUUUCACGAUUAUUAGUCUUGCAGUAAACGUGUUAAUAAAAAAUAAACGUAAUUUUUCCAGUACAAGUAUUAAACUUGGUAUAUACGUGAAGUUUUUCGUUAAGAUAUCUUUAAAAGUGGCCAGGAUACGUGUACUGUAAAAUUACGCUUUGUUUUAAAUUAAAAUGUAUAAUUAAAUCUUGAAGAAAUCCGAAUUUUCCACUAAAUCUUAUAAUUUCUACACGUAACCGUAAACAGUAUUCUCAUUGGCCGAGAAUUUUAAUUUCGGAGAUGGAUUGCAUCUGUAUACUAUAGAGAGUUUAACGAGCGUGAUUAUAAUAUUUUGUGAUGAGGUAGGUGAGAAUAAUCGCAGUUUCUUUAUUUCUCUGCCCGAGGUUGGUAAUUUAAUAUUAAUUCAUAUUAUUAAAACCCUAGUAUCUGUUACAGCAGUCAGUUUAAAAAGAAAAUCAACAAGAGGAGAAACGGUGAUGGACUAGCUUCGUAAUGGCUAUAGUUUAGUUCAGGACAAUUGUGUAUUCCGUACGAGUAAAAAGAUGAAAAUUAGCCGCGCGUUCCAGGUGCUCGAUGAUUUUAUAAAUAAUUUGUGUUAUUGAACGUCACGUUUUACGACGAAACGAACGUUUUGAAAGGCUACACUUAAAGUAGCGGUGAUAUUUAAUUACCUGCCAUAACGAAAACUAAUUGCAAGUUGGCUCGGAGUCAUAUCCGUUCAAAGAAAAAGUGGAGGAUUAUGGUAUUUAUUUACAAGCAAAUCGACUUCGAUUUCCACGAUUUGGAGAUAAAAAAUUAUUCUUGAGACGUCGAUAAUAACGGUUACGUACAAACAAGAAGCUACUGUUGCGUUGAAGUGGAUAUAAACUUUAUGAAUAUUUUAUUUAAAUAACAUAUUAAAAUGCAACGAUACGUAUUCAAUACAUAAUAAUUUGUUUGUGAUAACAUGUUGUAAUUAGAAACGCUGGAUGUGUAAAGUAGGUCAAAUAGCCGCCAUCUUGUAGCAAAAUGAGCAUUUGCAUUUCAGAUACUACAGUUAUGAAAUUAAAGGAAUUUUAAUAUCGAAUAAAAUAUGUACGUUCGCAAAAUGUGUACUAAACUAAACAUUCAUGCAGAAUUAUAGACAAAAUUGUGCAAAUCAAUCGAAUAAAAAGAAAAAAAGCAUUUAAAAAACUUGAUAUCCGUUGUGCUUCGUAAAGAAACCUGACGUUGCAUUCUUACAAUGCAAUUAUCGCGAGAACGGUAAUUAAUGAUAAACUACAUUUGUCAUUCUUGACGAUACAUAAUAAACACAGCACGAUAAAUGACUGAAAUUGUUUUACUUGGGUUUAAUGUACGCUACAUAUGUAUUUAACGUUCACAGUGCACUCGUUAAAUGUAGUUAUAUGUACUAUAUAUAAUUCCCAAGGUUAAUCCGUUAUUGCGUAGCAAAAUAUGAAUAAUGUAUCGGCUUACUCAAAGACGGUACUUUAUGCAGGAUGUCCGAGUAAUUGCGAUACAAACGAGAAAGGGGCGAUUCCUUUUGAGAAAAAAAAAAUAAAUCUAAAAUUUAACGUAAAAUAUGAUUAUGUUAGAUAGCGACCACUCGCUAACCAGAGAAACAAUCUUAUUUGUAUAAAUAAUCACUCUAUUUUCGGUUGAACCACGAUUAUUAUUACAACACUCUGUAUAUCCAGUAACUUUAAGGACAUUUCUAGUUAGGCAAACCAUUAGUUAGGUAAUUAUUGAAUUUUUCUUAACGACAAGAUUAUGAAAUACAUACGUGAAGUCUUAUCGACAUAUGUAUUUAGUACGUUUAAGUGCAUCGCCUGGAGUUUGUUAAACAAAUAACUAUUAAAGUGUAUCAGUGUGGUUAUCGCUUCUGUUAGAAUAUCAAGUCGAUUGGCAAAUUACAAACGUCGUGUAAAGUUCUAACGACCGCUUCCACUAGGCAAUAUAUGUAAUUCUGGACACAUGA